AUUGAACGCUGGCGGCAUGCCUUACACAUGCAAGUCGAACGGCAGCACGGGAGCAAUCCUGGUGGCGAGUGGCGAACGGGUGAGUAAUAUAUCGGAACGUGCCCGGUCGUGGGGAUAACGUAGCGAAAGCUACGCUAAUACCGCAUACGAUCUACGGAUGAAAGCGGGGGAUCGCAAGACCUCGCGCGAUUGGAGCGGCCGAUAUCAGAUUAGGUAGUUGGUGAGGUAAAGGGCUCACCAAGCCGACGAUCUGUAGCUGGUCUGAGAGGACGACCAGCCACACUGGGACUGAGACACGGCCCAGGACUCCUACGGGAGGCAGCAGUGGGGAAUUUUGGACAAUGGGCGCAAGCCUGAUCCAGCAAUGCCGCGUGCAGGAUGAAGGC
rnacentral:rRNA from 1 species